UAGGGAAUCUUGCGCAAUGGGCGAAAGCCUGACGCAGCCAUGCCGCGUGGAUGAUGAAGGUCUUAGGAUUGUAAAAUCCUUUCAGCGGGGACGAUAAUGACGGUACCCGCAGAAGAAGCCCCGGCUAACUUCGUGCCAGCAGCCGCGGUAAUACGAAGGGGGCUAGCGUUGCUCGGAUUUACUGGGCGUAAAGGGCGCGUAGGCGGAUGUUUAAGUCGGGGGUGAAAGCCCGGGGCUCAACCUCGGAAUUGCCUUCGAUACUGGACAUCUUGAGUACGGGAGAGGUGAGUGGAACUCCGAGUGUAGAGGUGAAAUUCGUAGAUAUUCGGAAGAACACCAGUGGCGAAGGCGACUCACUGGCCCGUUACUGACGCUGAGGCGCGAAAGCGUGGGGAGCAAACAGGAUUAGAUACCCCCGUAGUCC
rnacentral:rRNA from 1 species